UCCCCGUUUUCCGAGGCAGUUCCCUAAGAGUGCUGUCCAUUACAGACGUGGCAACAUAGGGUAAGGGUUGCGCUCGUUGCGGGACUUAACCCAACAUCUCACGACACGAGCUGACGACAGCCAUGCACCACCUGUCACGGGCCCAAAAGGACAUCGUGUUUCCACAGCUUUUCCCGUGAUGUCAAGCCCAGGUAAGGUUCUUCGGGUUGCAUCGAAUUAAGCCGCAUGCUCCGCCGCUUGUGCGGGGACCCGUCAAUUCCUUUGAGUUUUAGCCUUGCGGCCGUACUCCCCAGGCGGGGCGCUUAAUGCGUUAGCUGCGGCACAGGGAACCGGAGAGGCCCCCCACACCUAGCGCCCAACGUUUACAGCGUGGACUAC
rnacentral:misc_RNA from 1 species